CGCGAUGUUGGCGUGGACGUCCGGCUCGAUGCGCAGGCUGAGUUUCCCCGAGUAGGGUUUCUGCGGUUCGCGCCCGAGCUUCGCGC
rnacentral:tRNA from 1 species